rnacentral:rRNA from 1 species
GACAGAGGCCUCAAGCGUUAGGCGGAAUCACUGGGCUUAAAGCGUGUGUAGGCGGAUCGUUAAGUGCCUUGUGAAAUCCCACGGCUUAACUGUGGAACGGCUGGGCAUACUGGCGGUCUUGAGCCAUCUAGGGGCGACUGGAACAAACGGUGGAGCGGUGAAAUGCGUAGAUAUCAGGAGGAACACCGGUGGCGAAGGCGGGUCUCUGGGCAGUAACUGACGCUGGAGGAGCGAAAGCGUGGGGAGCGAACAGG